UAAGUAUACCGGAAGGUAUGCUUGGAAU
rnacentral:rRNA from 1 species